GCUCUGCAGAUGAUGCUGCCCUGGGCGUGUAUCAGUCCCCGCCCUGCAUCGUUGCGGCUGUGGGGUCGGCGCCCAUUAUGGAGUGCAGGUUCCCUCCCAUGGAGGCAAGCGAAAUAGCUUUUAUCUCAUGGUACAAAGAGAAGAGGGAACUGAGCCCCUCAGACAGGCGCUUCAGGCGGUCUGAAAACUUCACCGCAGGGUCUGCUUCUCUCCGGAUACCCCGUGUGCAGGGUCAGGAUGCUGGAGUCUAUACCUGUGAGAUGGGGAAUAUCACCCACAGCUCUCCCGGGAAUGGCACAAAACUGGAAGUUCACG